CUCACCCGAUCUCUCCCUAUUAUCUGCAUAUGGCCAGAUUUCCGGCGACUGCCGGCUGUGUUUUCCAGCGAAAGACCCCCACCCUCUCGUUUCUACUCCGACGCCACACAAGACCGGUGACCGGUUUAACCAGUAGAGCCGCCGCUCACGACGGCGCACGGCGACGACAGUCGGAGGGAGAGGAAGAGAGACGGUGGCUGUGGAGGUGGUUAAGACAGAGACGGAAGUGCCGCCGCUCACCAUGUUUUCCGGCGACAGAGACGGGAGCGACAGAGACGGUGGUUUACUUUAAAAAGAUAAAUAUGACAAGUCCCGAUCUUCCCCUGCUCGUCUCCGGCGAAACAGCGAAACUCCCGAUCUGAUGUUUUAUCACCGGUUGAUCUGAUGUUUAUCGCCAGCUGAUCUGAUGUUUAUCGCUACCGACCAGGAGACGUCGUAAACGAGAAAAGUGGAGAUGGAAGGUCGAUAAGGAUGAUUCACGUAUGUUUGUUUGCUUGGUCGAUAAGGAUGAUUCAGCAUACAACGCGGCGAAUAGUUUUAAAAGACUAUGUCUUUUUUAUUUUUCCGAUUAUGUUGCGUUUAUUGUUUUCACGAAACUGGAACUUGUAAUUGUAUGUUUUUUUUUUGGUUUGGCAAACAUUAUGUAACUUGUUAUUUGCUUAACAUAAACUAGUUUUACAUGUUUUGUUUA